rnacentral:rRNA from 1 species
UUUGGCACCUCGAUGUCGGCUCAUCGCAUCCUGGGGCUGUAGUCGGUCCCAAGGGUUGGGCUGUUCGCCCAUUAAAGCGGUACGCGAGCUGGGUUCAGAACGUCGUGAGACAGUUCGGUCCCUAUCCGUCGCGGGCGCAGGAAAUUUGAGAGGAGCUGUCCUUAGUACGAGAGGACCGGGAUGGACGCACCGCUGGUGUACCAGUUGUUCUGCCAAGGGCAUCGCUGGGUAGCUAUGUGCGGACGGGAUAAGUGCUGAAAGCAUCUAAGCAUGAAGCCCCCCUCAAGAUGAGAUUUCCCAUUCCGCAAGGAAGUAAGAUCCCUGAAAGAUGAUCAGGUUGAUAGGUCUGAGGUGGAAGUGUGGCGACACAUGGAGCUGACAGAUACUAAUCGAUCGAGGACUUAACCAUUUU